UUAAGCGACUAAGCGUACACGGUGGAUGCCCUGGCAGUCAGAGGCGAUGAAGGACGUGCUAAUCUGCGAUAAGCGUCGGUAAGGUGAUAUGAACCGUUAUAACCGGCGAUUUCCGAAUGGGGAAACCCAGUGUGUUUCGACACACUAUCAUUAACUGAAUCCAUAGGUUAAUGAGGCGAACCGGGGGAACUGAAACAUCUAAGUACCCCCGAGGAAAAAGAAAAUCAACCGAGAUUCCCCCAGUAGCGGCGAGCGAACGGGGAGGAGCCCAGAGCCUGAAUCAGUGUGUGUGUUAGUGGAAGCGUCUGGAAAGGCGCGCGAUACAGGGUGACAGCCCCGUACACAAAAAUGCACAUGCUGUGAGCUCGAUGAGUAGGGCGGGACACGUGGUAUCCUGUCUGAAUAUGGGGGGACCAUCCUCCAAGGCUAAAUACUCCUGACUGACCGAUAGUGAACCAGUACCGUGAGGGAAAGGCGAAAAGAACCCCGGCGAGGGGAGUGAAAAAGAACCUGAAACCGUGUACGUACAAGCAGUGGGANCA
rnacentral:rRNA from 1 species